UGAGGAAUAUUGGUCAAUGGGCGAGAGCCUGAACCAGCCAAGUAGCGUUCAGGAUGACGGCCCUAUGGGUUGUAAACUGCUUUUAUAUGGGAAUAAAGUGAGGGACGUGUCCCUUAUUGCAUGUACCAUAUGAAUAAGGACCUGCUAAUUCCGUGCCAGCAGCCGCGGUAAUACGGAAGGUCCAGGCGUUAUCCGGAUUUAUUGGGUUUAAAGGGAGCGUAGGCUGUUUGUUAAGCGUGUUGUGAAAUGUAAGAGCUCAACUUUUAGAUUGCAGCGCGAACUGGCAGACUUGAGUGCGCACAACGUAGGCGGAAUUCAUGGUGUAGCGGUGAAAUGCUUAGAUAUCAUGAAGAACUCCGAUUGCGAAGGCAGCUUACGGGAGCGCAACUGACGCUGAAGCUCGAAGGUGCGGGUAUCGAACAGG
rnacentral:rRNA from 1 species